rnacentral:rRNA from 1 species
AGAAUAAUUCACAAUAGACGAAAGUCUGAUGGUGCAACGCCGCGUGGAGGAUGACGGUCUUCGGAUUGUAAACUCCUGUCAUCUGGGAGAAAGACCUGGGAGUUAAUAGCUCACAGGGUUGAUAGUACCAGAAGAGGAAGGGACGGCUAACUUCGGGCCCGCAGCCGCGGUAAUACGAAGGUCCCAAGCGUUGUUCGGAAUCACUGGGCGUAAAGGGAGCGUAGGCGGCGCGGUAAGUCGGAUGUGAAAUCCCGAGGCUCAACCUCGGAACUGCAUCUGAUACUGCCGUGCUAGAGUAAUGGAGGGGUAGCUGGAAUUCUCGGUGUAGCAGUGAAAUGCGUAGAUAUCGAGAGGAACACUCGUGGCGAAAGCGAGCUACUGGACAUUUACUGACGCUGAGGCUCGAAGGCUAGGGGAGCGAAA